rnacentral:rRNA from 1 species
AAUCAACGCUGGCGGCGUGCCUAACACAUGCAAGUCGAACGAGAAAGUGGAGCAAUCCAUGAGUAAAGUGGCGCACGGGUGAGUAACACGUGACUAACCUACCCUUGAGUGGGGGAUAACCUAGGGAAACCUGGGCUAAUACCGCAUAAUACCUACGGGUCAAAGGAGCAAUUCGCUUUAGGAGGGGGUCGCGGCAGAUUAGUUAGUUGGCGGGGUAAUGGCCCACCAAGACGAUGAUCUGAUCCGGCCUGAGAGGGCGCACGGACACACUGGAACUGAAACACGGUCCAGACUCCUACGGGAGGCAGCAGUGGGGAAUUUUGCGCAAUGGGGGAAACCCUGACGCAGCAACGCCGCGUGGAGGAUGAAGACCCUUGGGUCGUAAACUCCUUUCGAUCGGGACGAUAAUGACGGUACCGGAAGAAGAAGCCCCCGGCUAACUUCGUGCCAGCCG